rnacentral:rRNA from 1 species
CCUACGGGAGGCAGCAGUGAGGAAUAUUGGUCAAUGGACGCAAGUCUGAACCAGCCAAGCCGCGUGCAGGAGGACGGCUCUAUGAGUUGUAAACUUCUUUUGUCCGAGGGUAAACACAGAUACGCGUAUCUGUCUGAAAGUAUCGUACGAAUAAGCAUCGGCUAACUCCGUGCCAGCAGCCGCGGUAAUACGGAGGAUUCAAGCGUUAUCCGGAUUUAUUGGGUUUAAAGGGUGCGUAGGCGGUCGGAUAAGUUAGAGGUGAAAUCCCGAGGCUCAACUUCGGAAUUGCCGCUGAUCCUGUCCGGCUAGAGAGUAGGUGAGGUAGGCGGAAUGUAUGGUGUAGCGGUGAAAUGCUUAGAGAUCAUACAGAACACCGAUUGCGAAGGCAGCUUACCAGGCUACUUCUGACGUUGAGGCACGAAAGCGUGGGGAGCAAACAGGAUGAGAUACCCCAGUAGUC